rnacentral:rRNA from 1 species
AGUGCAGAAGAGGAAAAGUGGGAAUUUCCAAUGUGUAGCGGGUGAAAAUGCGUAGAAGAUUAUGGAGGAAACACCCAGUGGCGAAAGGCGACUUUUCUGGUCUGCAACUGACACUGAGGCGCGAAAAGCGUGGGGAGCAAAACAGGAUUAGAUACCCUGGUAGUCCACGCCCGUAAACGAUGAGUGCUAAAGUGUUAGAGGGUUUCCGCCCUUUUAGUGCUGAAGUUAACGCAAUUAAGCACUCCGCCUGGGGAGUAACGGCCGCAAGGCUGAAACUCAAAGGAAUUGACGGGGGCCCGCACAAGCGGUGGAGCAUGUGGUUUAAUUCGAAGCAACGCGAAGAACCUUACCAGGUCUUGACAUCCUCUGACAACCCUAGAGAUAGGGCUUCCCCUUCGGGGGCAGAGUGACAGGUGGUGCAUGGUUGUCGUCAGCUCGUGUCGUGAGAUGUUGGGUUAAGUCCCGCAACGAGCGCAACCCUUGAUCUUAGUUGCCAUCAUUAAGUUGGGCACUCUAAGGUGACUGCCGGUGACAAACCGGAGGAAGGUGGGGAUGACGUCAAAUCAUCAUGCCCCUUAUGACCUGGGCUACACACGUGCUACAAUGGACGGUACAAAGAGUCGCAAGACCGCGAGGUGGAGCUAAUCUCAUAAAACCGUUCUCAGUUCGGAUUGUAGGCUGCAACUCGCCUACAUGAAGCUGGAAUCGCUAGUAAUCGCGGAUCAGCA